rnacentral:rRNA from 1 species
AGGAUGAAGGCUUUAGGGUCGUAAACCUCUUUUUCAGGGAAGAGCAAGGACGGUACCUACAAAAGCGCCGGCUAACUCGUGCCAGCAGCCGCGGUAAUACGUAGGUCCAAAGUUAUCCGGAAUUAUUGGGCGUAAAGGGUCCGUAGGCGGUUCGGUAAGUCUCUGUGAAAUCCUCGGCUCAACCGAGGGUCGGGAACUGCUGAACUUGAGACGACAGAGGCAAAUGGAAUUCCCGGUGUAGGGUGAAAUGCGUAGAUAUCGGGAGGAACACCAGUGGCGAAAGCGGUUUCUGGCUCUUUCUGACGCUGAGGGACGAAAGCGUGGGUAGCAAACCGGAUUAGAUACCCGGGUAGUCCACGCCGUAAACGAUGAAUACUAGGUUUUCGGGGUAUCGACCCCCUCUGAUCCGAGCUAACGCAAUAA